rnacentral:rRNA from 1 species
CCUACGGGAGGCAGCAGUGGGGAAUCUUGGACAAUGGGCGAAAGCCUGAUCCAGCCAUGCCGCGUGGAUGAUGAAGGCCCUAGGGUUGUAAAAUCCUUUCGUUGGGGACGAUAAUGACGGUACCCAAAGAAGAAGCUCCGGCUAACUUCGUGCCAGCAGCCGCGGUAAU